rnacentral:rRNA from 1 species
UGGGAAUCUUCCGCAAUGGACGAAAGUCUGACGGAGCAACGCCGCGUGAACGAAGAAGGUUUUCGGAUCGUAAAGUUCUGUUGUUAGGGAAGAACCGCCGGGAUAACCUCCCGGUCUGACGGUACCUAACGAGAAAGCCCCGGCUAACUACGUGCCAGCAGCCGCGGUAAUACGUAGGGGGCAAGCGUUGUCCGGAAUUAUUGGGCGUAAAGCGCGCGCAGGCGGCUUCUUAAGUCAGGUGUGAAAGCCCACGGCUCAACCGUGGAGGGCCACUUGAAACUGGGAGGCUUGAGUGCAGGAGAGGAGAGCGGAAUUCCACGUGUAGCGGUGAAAUGCGUAGAGAUGUGGAGGAACACCUGUGGCGAAGGCGGCUCUCUGGCCUGUAACUGACGCUGAGGCGCGAAAGCGUGGGGAGCGAAC